ACAGAUGCACAAAUAUUGUUUCUCUUUUAGUUUAUAUGUGCUUUCAUCUGCAAAAAUUACAGUUCAUUGUCAUAAACUGUUCAUAAACUGGACUUAUGCCUGUGGCCUUCAGAAGGGUAACUCUGCCGAUCAUAAGGACCACCGAGUCCUUUGGCUGGCUGGAUGUUUCUUAGUUCAGCUUGCGUGCUCUCACCUGACAUUCACAUUUUCUAUACCUGUUAAAAACCAGUCUACAAAUUCCAAGCAGGUGUUUAUUCAGUUUGCAUACUGUACAUCAGUUGUGACUCUUUAGCAGACUAUGACUCCUGACAUCCUCCAUUUCUGUAAUGACUGCAUAUUUUUAGCCACCUUGACCAACCUCAGCAACUCAGUGUCUUGGUCAACACCAUGUCUGCACCACAAUAUGUCAGAACUCAUCUUUUGUGGCGCCACUAUUCUGUCAUUGUACACCUGUUCCUUCUCACAUUCUGUGUCCCUGGAGGCCUUUACAUCGUCUGGCACCUUACCUCUGUAUGUAGACCUCCCUAUCAUCACAGCGUUGGAUCAGCUGCAGCUUAGCAUCCUGUAGUGUUUGUUGCUCAGCCAGGUCAAGCUUGAACUGCUACCUAACAGACCGUUACUUCACUGGUCAGCUCAGAAAUUUCUUAGGUCACAGCGGCUGGGAUUUCUAGAAAUGGUGUCUGAUACAACAAGUUUGUUUCCUGUCACAUAUUUGGCUGCAGUGUUACAGCACAUCAUAUGCAGCACUAGUCUGUGACACCUCACAGGUUGAGGUGGAGUUAGUUCUAGUUUAUCAGAAGAUGGAAAGGUUUGUGACCACUCUGCAGAGUGAAAAAAAUCUCACCAAACUAAAUUCAACUAUGGCAGAAAAGAAAACACUUCUAGUGUUUAUCUCUGGCUCCACCCACCAAUGUUCAACUCAACCAAUGAGAUUGUUCCUGUGUGCAGAACUUAAAGCACAAUGAACUUGAUGUGGAGAACAACUGUGCAGUAGAGAGGCUGCUUAGUUCUUCCAUUGUGCUGCAGUGGAACAACACUGUUGAUCUGCUGUCUAACUGCGACAACUGAAAACAUGUUAAUUUACCUGCUUUUUAUUUUCUACAACUUUCUAGCCAUGGGCUCCAUGAACAGCAUAAAGCCGAUAAGUACUGAACAAGUUGUUGCAGAGGGAAGAAACAUCAGGCUGACCUGUGACUAUGAUGGUACUAUCUACAGUAUCCAGUGGUACCGACAGUACCAGAGAUCCAGACCAGAGUUCCUGCUGUCCAUCACAGAGGGAGGAUCUAUUCAUCCAACGCUUUCUGACUUCUCUGCUCACAUUAACAAAACACACAAACGUGUAGAUCUGGAGAUCAUCUCAGCUGCAGUGACAGACUCUGCUGUGUACUACUGUGCUCUGGAGCCCACAGUGACAGGAAACAGCAAAACUCUGUACAAAAACCUUUGGAGCAAAGAUAAGAGAAAACUCAACUACAUCCACUAGAUGGAGACACACUCUGUUACAUGUCUAUGAAUUGUUAAAAUUCAGUUUACCGUAGGGGAGUAGGUUGGCCUCCCUUCCCUCAUCUGUAUAGUCCAGGUAAUUAUAGACUUCACCAUCAGAACUUUAAAUGUCAUAGAUCUACUUUUAAACAGUACUAAUUAUUACAUAUUUCAGGUUUAGCUCACAAAUGUUUCAGGACUAAAGCCUCUCAUCUGUGUGGAUUUUUCCCUGGACUUUAAAAUUACUACAUUAAGUGAAAUUUUUCCUACAUGUCGCACAACAAUAUGACUUCCUAUUU